GGAGAAGUACCCAAGUGGCCGAAGGGGACGGUUUGCUAAACCGUUAGUAGGGGUAACUCUAGCCGGGGUUCGAAUCCCCGCUUCUCCGCCA
rnacentral:tRNA from 1 species